rnacentral:rRNA from 1 species
GGCCUGUUGAGUAUAAUUUUAGGUCUGACCUGCCCACUGAAUAGUUAAAUGGCCGCGGUAUCUUGACCGUGCAAAGGUAGCAUAAUCACUAGUUUUUUAAUUGAAAGCUUGUAUGAAAGGUUUGAUGAGGAAUGUUCUGUCUCUGUAAAAUUUUAUUAGAAUUUUAUUUUUAAGUUAAAAAGCUUAAAUUUAAAUAGAAGACGAGAAGACCCUAUAGAGUUUUAUAUUUAAAUAAAAUAGUUGAAUUAAAGGAAUCUAAAAUUUUGGUUUUAUUUAUUUAUUUUGUUGGGGUGAUAGAAAAAAUGGUUAAACUUUUUUUGUAUGAAAACAUUUAUUUAUGAGUAAAUGAUCCUUAGUUUUGGAUUAAAAGAUUAAAUUACCUUAGGGAUAACAGCGUAAUUUUUUUUAGAGUUCUUAUCGAAAAUAAAGAUUGCGACCUCGAUGUUGGAUUAAAAUUUAAUGUUGGUGUAGAAGCUAAUAUACUAGGUCUGUUCGACCUUUAAAAUUUUACAUGAUCUGAGUUUAGACCGGCGUGAG